GGAGCUCAGGUAAAGGAAGGACAGGUGGAGCCAGGCAGAGGCAGAGGGGAGAGUUGGGCUGUGCUCAGGAGAGAGGCUGUGGGGCCAGUGAGGUGGAAGUGUAGAGACUCUGAUGCAGCUUGCAGUGGGAAUCCCGAGCGCUCUCCACAGAGAACCUCUGCACUGUCUGGGUCGCUGGGAAUUUGAGUCCUCUUACUGGCGAGUGGUGACCGACUGGAGAGUGGAGGCCUCGCCCUUGGUGGGACCAGGCGACUUCGUCGGUCCGGUUUGAGUUGCAUUUAGGAUUUAAGGACUCAGCGUGCAAGCACUCAGUGCUAGGGCCGGAGCCAGUCUCAGCCUUCCACAGCAGUGAAAGUGAACAAGCCCUCCUGGGCGAGAGCAGCGCAGUGCCCCUGCCGGCCCCAUGUGCACCCCGCUGAGGGGCCCAUUCUCC
rnacentral:lncRNA from 1 species